UGUUGCAGGUGUGAGCCACCACUCUCAGCUCCUGCCGCCCUCAUUGUGACCUUGGGUCCUCAGCACAUGCUCGCACUUGUGACUACAGACUUCCCAGCUCUAGAACUACAUGCUAAGUCUGUGUGCCGCAGACAGAACGAAGAGGGCAUCAGAUCACUUGGAACUGGAGUUAAAGACAGCUGUGAGUCACCAUGGAGAUGCUGGGAAUUGAAACUAGGCCUUCUGUGAGAGCAGCAGCUGGCAGAGCCGUCUCUCCACCACAAAGUUUUAAACAUAAAUACCCUACCGAUUCACAACUGCACCUGUCGUGCAAGUGUGCAGUCCCUUAGUUCGCUGUUUCUACUUCCCUUUUAAAGAAAAAAUAAACAAACUUAACA
ensembl:lincRNA 5730422E09Rik RIKEN cDNA 5730422E09 gene